rnacentral:tRNA from 1 species
GGCGCGGUACCCAAGUGGCCUAAGGGAGCGGUCUGCAAAACCGCGAUUCGCCGGUUCAAAUCCGGCCCGCGCCUCCA